rnacentral:rRNA from 1 species
UCGACUAGCAUGCGAGUCAGGUGUCUUCGGACGCCGGCAUACGGCUCAGUAACACGUAGGAACCUACCCUCAGGACUGAGAUAACCCCGGGAAACUGGGGCUAAUAUUAGAUAGAUAAAAGAUACUGGAAUGUUCUUUUAUCCAAAGCUUUUGCGCCUGAGGAUGGGCCUGCGUCCGAUUAGGUUGUUGGUGGGGUAAUGGCCCACCAAGCCUGCGAUCGGUACGGGCAGUGGGAGCUGAAGCCCGGAGUUGGGGACUGAGACAAGUCCCCAGGCCCUACGGGGCGCAGCAGGCGCGAAACCUCUGCAAUGCGGGAAACCGUGACAGGGGGAUCCCAAGUGCUCAUGCAUUGCAUGGGCUGUUCUUUGGCUAGUACCGAGGA